GAUGACAAAAGAAUUAAAAGAAGAACGCCAUAGGCGCCCCCAAGCGUUUCACUUGUUUUCUUGCUAUUUGGUGCAUUUUAAGAGAGACGGUGUAGGAUGUGAUGACUCCAUGCUCGGAUAGUGUUGAGUCUCUAUGAGAAUCCACUGCCAGAGUCUUGAAUUAGACUCCAUUUUCUCCAUGUGCAUAUGCAAAGACAAACAAGAAAUAAGAAUUAGAAAAUGAAAUCUGAUUCUUUAUACUACAUAAGAGAUAAAUAAAGAAGUAAAGACUCGUAAUAUAACUCAUCCCAUAAAAGUUUAUAAGAUGAAAUACUCCACAUAAAACUAUUUUCCUUAAGAAGAAUAAUAGAUUUUUGUUCUAUAGCUGUAACAUCAAGCUCUUAAACGAUCAAACUCUAUGUCAUGAAAAUAUUAUAACUAAGUUACAGCAUCUAUAUAAUACUAUUCAAUUACAAAAGUCAAUCCGCCAUUUUUGUUUAGAAAUCGCAACAAUGGACCAAUAAGCCAAAUACCCAUUCUUCUUAUCCAGAAGCAGAUUCAAUAUUUCAAGAACUUCGAACAUGACGUCUAUCACAAAGAUGACACUCAAGUGUAUCCAAUUACUAACCUUUACAUAUAAAUCAAUUAAACCCAUAUACAAGAUAUUUAGUAUACAUGUAUUUUAAGAUAACUAACGUGUAAGAAGGAAUUAUCGGAGUCAUAGAUAAGGUUAUCUAGUAUCGCAAAGGCAAAAACACAUUUAAGGUUUAAAUAAUUCAUACUUAGAGGAAAAUAUAUUGCGGAACUGACGGAGCUUAUAGGCAUGAUCUUUAAUGCUUUAUUUCUUGACACUAACAAGUUUGAGUUAUUUUCUUAGAAAUAGAAUAUACUUCUAGCAUAUCACUAUGUCAAGCAUCAAAGAACGAAAAGAGGACAUAUUUAUAAGCAGACAAAUACUUGUUACUCAUAUUUUAAAAUAAAUAAAUAAAUAAAUGUCCAUCCUCAAUACUCUUACAGUUAUGAUUUCUACAAACACGUGAACAUGUAAACAGAUAACAGAAACUAAAGAGCCAACCUAAAAAUGAAUCCUAACUCAUGUUUUCUAGUUGAGAUAGCUAAUGACUUCUGGGCAUUGACCGAGAAAAGAAAGGACAAAAGAAAUCAAAGCUUCACAAGUUACUGACCUUUUUAGGUGCAGUGACUGGGGCGUCUUCAACGGAUAAUCGAAUCUCCGACUUCGGAUCAACUAACUCGAGCAAGCAAAGAAUGUUAGAAGCAACAGGAGCAAGGGUGUUGUUAUGGCAAAAAAAUCAAUAGAGACCGAGAGAAAGAGAUGAGUUUUUAGAGAGUAAUUUCAGAACAGAGGGCGGCGGCUUCCAACCAUGGUCUUUGAUAGAAGGUAAAAGAGCGGUAAAUUUGAGCGGGAUUUCAAGUACGAUUUCAUUUUUUAUUUUGAACCUUGGUCAAAGUAGAACGUUUGAAAUUGAACGUUGGAUGUUUCUUGGAUGGAUUCUGCAGGCUUCACGUGAUUUGAUCAAAAUGGCGUGAUUCAUUUCAGUCCUUACACGGAUUGGCGAGGCUGCAGUAUUUUGCACAAAAAUGAUGUGACAUUUGUCUGCUUGAAGGAUGUAAGAGCUUGGAAGUUUUCUGAAAAUGGAGAAAGGGACAAGGAAAGGGGUCAGUAGCGUUAGGGAAGAGA
rnacentral:lncRNA from 1 species